GCAUAACGCGAAGAACCUUACCAGGUCUUGACAUCCCCCUGACCGGUGCAGAGAUGUACCUUUCCUUCGGGACAGGGGAGACAGGUGGUGCAUGGUUGUCGUCAGCUCGUGUCGUGAGAUGUUGGGUUAAGUCCCGCAACGAGCGCAACCCUUGACUUUAGUUGCCAGCAAGUAAGGUUGGGCACUCUAGAGUGACUGCCGGUGACAAACCGGAGGAAGGUGGGGAUGACGUCAAAUCAUCAUGCCCCUUAUGACCUGGGCUACACACGUACUACAAUGGCCGGUACAACGGGAAGCGAAGGAGCGAUCUGGAGCGAAUCCUUUAAAGCCGGUCUCAGUUCGGAUUGCAGGCUGCAACUCGCCUGCAUGAAGUCGGAAUCGCUAGUAAUCGCGGAUCAGCAUGUCGCGGUGAAUACGUUCCCGGGUCUUGUACACACCG
rnacentral:rRNA from 1 species